rnacentral:tRNA from 1 species
AGAGUUUGAUCCUGGCUCAGGAUGAACGCUGGCGGCGUGCCUAACACAUGCAAGUUGAGCGAUUUACUUCGGUAAAGAGCGGCGGACGGGUGAGUAACGCGUGGGUAACCUACCCUGUACACACGGAUAACAUACCGAAAGGUAUGCUAAUACGGGAUAACAUAUUUGAGAGGCAUCUCUUNUGUAGUUUUUAGAGUGCUAACUCUAUAUUGUUAAACUUGUCAAAAUUUAUAGAUUUUUAAUAGUUUUAUAAGGCAAAAAAUCGAAUAAAAAAAGUAUUGACAUAUUAAGACAAAGAUGUUAUUAUAAUACUUGUCUUAGAAAAAAAGUUAAAUGAAAAUUUAGACAAUAAUCUGGUUAUAAUAGCAGAGAGGAUACACCUGUUCCCAUUCCGAACACAGAAGUUAAGCUCUCUAGCGCUGAUGGUACUUGGUGGGAAGCUGCCUGGGAGAGUAGGACAUAGCCAGGUGAUGUGCCGAAGUGGCGGAACUGGCAGACGCACAGGACUUAAAAUCCUGCGGGACUUACCUCUCGUACCGGUUCGAUUCCGGUCUUCGGCACCACAAAUUAUUGUGGGCCAUUAGCUCAGUUGGUUAGAGCGCCCGGCUCAUAACCGGUAGGUCUGGGGUUCGAGUCCCUGAUGGCCCACCACAAUAAUUUAAAGAACUUUGAAAAUUAAACAGUAGGUUAAUUUAUAAACAAGAAACAAACCAUAAAGCCAGAUAUUUUGAUAACAAUAGUAUCUGAGCCUGAUAAACUUUUAUUUGAGAGUUUGAUCCUGGCUCAGGAUGAACGCUGGCGGCGUGCCUAACACAUGCAAGUUGAGCGAUUUACUUCGGUAAAGAGCGGCGGACGGGUGAGUAACGCGUGGGUAACCUACCCUGUACACACGGAUAACAUACCGAAAGGUAUGCUAAUACGGGAUAACAUAUUUGAGAGGCAUCUCUUAAAUAUCAAAGGUGAGCCAGUACAGGAUGGACCCGCGUCUGAUUAGCUAGUUGGUAAGGUAACGGCUUACCAAGGCGACGAUCAGUAGCCGACCUGAGAGGGUGAUCGGCCACAUUGGAACUGAGACACGGUCCAAACUCCUACGGGAGGCAGCAGUGGGGAAUAUUGCACAAUGGGCGAAAGCCUGAUGCAGCAACGCCGCGUGAGUGAUGAAGGCCUUCGGGUCGUAAAACUCUGUCCUCAAGGAAGAUAAUGACGGUACUUGAGGAGGAAGCCCCGGCUAACUACGUGCCAGCAGCCGCGGUAAUACGUAGGGGGCUAGCGUUAUCCGGAUUUACUGGGCGUAAAGGGUGCGUAGGCGGUCUUUCAAGUCAGGAGUGAAAGGCUACGGCUCAACCGUAGUAAGCUCUUGAAACUGGGAGACUUGAGUGCAGGAGAGGAGAGUGGAAUUCCUAGUGUAGCGGUGAAAUGCGUAGAUAUUAGGAGGAACACCAGUUGCGAAGGCGGCUCUCUGGACUGUAACUGACGCUGAGGCACGAAAGCGUGGGGAGCAAACAGGAUUAGAUACCCUGGUAGUCCACGCUGUAAACGAUGAGUACUAGGUGUCGGGGGUUACCCCCCUCGGUGCCGCAGCUAACGCAUUAAGUACUCCGCCUGGGAAGUACGCUCGCAAGAGUGAAACUCAAAGGAAUUGACGGGGACCCGCACAAGUAGCGGAGCAUGUGGUUUAAUUCGAAGCAACGCGAAGAACCUUACCUAAGCUUGACAUCCCAAUGACAUCUCCUUAAUCGGAGAGUUCCCUUCGGGGACAUUGGUGACAGGUGGUGCAUGGUUGUCGUCAGCUCGUGUCGUGAGAUGUUGGGUUAAGUCCCGCAACGAGCGCAACCCUUGUCUUUAGUUGCCAUCAUUAAGUUGGGCACUCUAGAGAGACUGCCAGGGAUAACCUGGAGGAAGGUGGGGAUGACGUCAAAUCAUCAUGCCCCUUAUGCUUAGGGCUACACACGUGCUACAAUGGGUAGUACAGAGGGUUGCCAAACCGUAAGGUGGAGCUAAUCCCUUAAAGCUACUCUCAGUUCGGAUUGUAGGCUGAAACUCGCCUACAUGAAGCUGGAGUUACUAGUAAUCGCAGAUCAGAAUGCUGCGGUGAAUGCGUUCCCGGGUCUUGUACACACCGCCCGUCACACCACGGGAGUUGGAGACGCCCGAAGCCGAUUAUCUAACCUUUUGGAAGAAGUCGUCGAAGGUGGAAUCAAUAACUGGGGUGAAGUCGUAACAAGGUAGCCGUAUCGGAAGGUGCGGCUGGAUCACCU